rnacentral:lncRNA from 1 species
CUUCUCUUGAAAAAUUGGAGAUCUGACAACAUUAGAUCUGCAUCCACAUGUGGCACCAAUAUCUGGAACUGAGUAGCAGCUGCUCACUUCAGACAAACCAUGUUCUCUCCAGUUUGACAAAGUCCCUAUCACCCCAUAUUUUAUGCCACACCUACUUCACUCAUUUGCUCUUCCACCCUGGCUCCUUGAGGCAUUUGACUUUUCUUUCAUUGCUUGUGGUCGUUGUAUUAAGUUUCCUCGCUUGUGGUAUUACCUGUUAAAGUUUCCAAAAUUUUCUUUUCAUUAAAUAAUAGCAUUGCAAAGACUAUGCCCAAUGAUACUGGACAAAGAAUUAUUGAAAAGAAUAAAAGUCAGAAUGCAACCAAAAUGUCCAAAAAUAGGUGAUUGUUUAAAUUGUAUUUUAUGCUGGUAUAUCCUUAGAAUAGAAUACCAUGUAGGAUUAAAAAUGUUUAUCUUGAAAGAAUGAAUGCAGAUUACUAAACUAUGUAUACAUCAAGAUUCCUAUGUUGUAGGAGAAGAAUAUUCAUACAUAUAGAAAAAGAGCUAAAGUGAUGUGUCAAAGCAGUAUCAGAAAAAUAUGUACAUAUACAAAAAAUAUAAACAAAUAAGUGAAUAAAAAGAACUACUGUUGUAGAUUAACUUGGAGAUACAAUUGCCAAACCACCAGUGAAGAGUUACUAUAAGACAGGAGGUGGGCAAAUGUGAUUAGAUGGAUCUGCAGCCAACUGAUCAAUUAACCAAUAAUCAUUAGAUUGAUUGCUUUAUGUCAACUUAGAAGGAAGCUCUUAGUGUCAGGAGAAAAGACCCUCCUUGACUUAUCCUAGUCAAUAUUUUUCUGAAGACUGCACCAUGCAGGGACAUGGCUCACCCUGGUUUCUGACAAAGGACUACACCUGAAGUGAGCUACAGAAGAAGGACAGAUUCUAUAAUUCGAAAACAAGAUUCUCUCAAGUGGUUUUGCACAGAUUAUUACUGAUCUCCAAUGAAAUAAAAAUUCUAGUGUUUUUUUUAUUUGCUUAUUCAUUCAACACACAUUGACUGAAUACCUACUGUGUGCCAGUUUAGUACCAUGGCUGAGAAUGCGGGCUUUAAAAUCAGAUUGGCUGGAUUUAAUUCCCAGCUCCUCACUUGCUAGGCGUGUGAUCUUGAGCAAGUUACACAAUCUUUCUAUACCUCAGUUUUCUUUUCUAUGAAAUGCGGAUAUUGGUAGUACCUCAUUCAUAGGAUUCUUGUGAUGCUAAAGUAUGAUUUUAAAAUGUAAAGUCCUUAGCAGACUGCUUAGGGCAAGCCAAUUAGUAAUAUGUUGGCCAUCAUUAUUAUUAUGAGCCAGG